rnacentral:rRNA from 1 species
GACAGAGGGAGCUAGCGUUGUUCGGAAUCACUGGGCGUAAAGCGCACGUAGGCGGCUACUCAAGUCGGGGGUGAAAGCCCGGGGCUCAACCCCGGAACUGCCCUCGAAACUAGGUAGCUAGAAUCUUGGAGAGGCGAGUGGAAUUCCGAGUGUAGAGGUGAAAUCGUAGAUAUUCGGAAGAACACCAGUGGCGAAGGCGACUCGCUGGACAAGUAUUGACGCUGAGGUGCGAAAGCGUGGGGAGCAAACAGGG